UUACGAUCUUAACUUCCGGUUUCCCGGAGGCCUCUGCUCCACCUGUUCCAGGGCUAGAUUGCCCCGCCUCCCCUCUUGGGGCUUGUUCUCCUCACUCCGGUCCCCUUCACUCCUCCGUACCCACUGUGGGCCUGCCCCUUCCCCCCCCCCUACUCCCGUCCCUCCCCGGUGGGUCAGAGGGCCGGGAAUGCCAGUCCUCGUCUGCUCAGUUUAGGACUUUCCGGUCUCCUGGCUUUCUGGAAGAUAAAAAAGGCUCCCGGGGCCUCAGGCGUCCCGAGUUCCCAGCUCUUCUUGGGCCCAAGACAGCUCUGGGCCCGGCGCUUUCUUUGGGGUCUUUGCAUUCCGACGCUGUGCGAGGGUGGAAGGGGGCCCGAGGGCACCGCGUGGGGCAUUCUGGGUAGCAGAUGGGCUCUCGUGCUCCGAUGGGGCCUUUCUCUGGCGCUGCUUCCCAAAGCCAGUCAGGAAGACGCUGGAAGGAGGCCCGAAGGGGGUUCCUGGUCCUGUCCAGCCAGAGCAGGGCCUUUUCCAAUGUCGGGCUCCCUUUCUCUGUAGCCUGUCAAGGAAGCCCGCUUCUGCCCAGUCUCGGCCAUGGCCAAAAAGAAUGUGGCUAAAUUUGUACCCUGGGCUCAGAGGUGGAUACCAUUUUUCAUCAUGAAUCUAAUAUUCUUGCUCUUUUCUUCAUCAGAGUUUCUGUCAUUCAAAUUUGUUUGUCUUUAUAAUAUUGUGAUCACAAUGAAGAAAAGAGGGAAACAUACUUAGGUGAUCUGUCCAGUUUCCAGUGUCACACAGUUGUAAAUGUCUCAGGCUGGAUUUUCACCUGGGUCAGGUGCUGGGGUGAUGUACUUACCUUCUGACUUUUCACCAGCCCCUGAGAGUGUGGGAAACUGCCCCAGAUCUCGGCUCCUGCCUCAUUCCAACAAAUUGCUUCUACAAAGUUAAUUGCUUCCCCACCGGGCAACAAGUUGCUCCUGCUUCACCCAGCCAAAGCCAAGGACGUCCAUUCUUCCAGUCCUCCACCACAGAGGUGUAAGCACUGCGACGAAGCUCAAAGUGUACAACACAGUGGUCCUCAGCUCGCUCCUGUACGGUUGUGAGACAUGGACACUGUACCAAAAGCACAUGAAGCAGCUGGAGCAAUUCCACCAACGCUCCCUCCAGUCAAUCAUGAGGAUCCGAUGGCAGGACCGAAUCACCCACCAGGAAGUCCUCGACAGAGCCAACUCCACCAGCAUCGAAGUCCUGGUCCUCAGAUGGUCUGGACACGUCAUCCGCAUGGACCCACAGCGAAUACCAAGACACGUAUUCUAUGGUGAGCUGUCAGCUGGACUCAGGAAACAAGGCCGGCCAAAGAAAAGAUUCAAGGAUCAGCUAAAGUCCAACUUGAAGUGGGCUGGCAUUACACCAAAGCAACUAGAACUCGCUGCCUCUGACAGAAGCAGCUGGCGAGCCCACAUUAACCAUGCUGCCGCCAUCUUUGAAGAUGAGCGACGUCGACGUCUUGCUGCUGCGUGUGAACGCCGACACCAGGCCACAACCGCACCUCUUGUAACAACUGGCGUCCCAGGCCCCAUGUGCCACACACUCUGCGCCUCAGCCUUUGGACUCCAAAGCCACAUGAGGGUACACCGUAGAUGAAACUGCACAAAGACAAUCAUCAUUCUCUGCCAAGAGACUACCACUACUUUCCCUCUCUUGAGGAGAUUAGCAAGGGCCUUAUUUUGUAGAGGGUGUUAAAAGUGAUUAAGGCAUCUGGGCUGACUGGGGAAAGCCCAGAAUUCUCCCUGAAGGUAACUAAAGUUCUAUUAUAAAAAUCAAAUACCGACUCUCCUUUCCUUCGGAGUGCAAGUUUGGAUUUCCCUCCAAUUUACCGACUUUGGAAUAGCCUCGGGGAUUGCUUCUAGCAAAGCUUCUCCCAUCUUCUUUGCCUCCUGGAGGCGAAUUUCAAGUCCUUCCUUUCUGGCCAUUAACUGAUUAAUAUAUUCUAAAGGGUUCUCCCAAUUAGCAGUUCUAAACCAAUGAUUGGCAUCUCCCGGACCUACCAAUAUGUGAGCUAGCUGGUAAAGGUCUGAUGAGUAGAAGGCCAGGCUGAUAAGUAGAAAGAGUCAACUCAAAUUCCUUGGCAAAUUCUAUGGGGUUUUCCCUAGCCUUGGGGAAUUCCUUGGCCCUGGCUCUGAGCUCUGUUGCUGCUUUGUUUCAGUUCCUUCCUUUCCCUUAAUUUUAACGGGGAAUUGAGGGAUGGGUGCCUCAGGUGAUCCUAGGGGCUCAGAUAUGCUGUCUAAAGAGGUUGCUGGAUUAUUAGAGCUUUUCCGAGUUCCUUAAGGUUCUCUACCUCCUUCUGUAAAUCGGCUAUUUCCUUUUUAGUGGUCUCCCUGCUCUGUUCCUCAGACUGUUCUCCUUGUUCGCCUUGAUUCUCCUCCUCCCUUACCUUUCUCUUGUACUUACCCUUCUCCUGGUUCAUGGACCGUUUUGACCUGGUUUUUCUUCUGGUGCACUCCUGGAGCCAUUGGUUGAAGACUUCUCUUUUGUCUUCUUCAAUCUCUCAAUCUGCUUCCCUUAAAACAGACUAAAGAAACAAUAUCUUUUCCUCAUUACAUGAACCCCACCUUGGCCAGUUUACCUUUGGAUUGGCCUUUGUCACUGUUUGCCAUUUAUCUAAAUACUUGCUUGCAUCAGGUCCACACUUUGAAAUCAUGAAACUUGCGGCCGUAUUUCUAGGUGGUUCUUCGGGCUGCUGACUGCCCCCACCUUUUUUGGGGACAACAGAUAAGCUGUUAUCCAUGUCCAAUAGUGCCCAGGUGGCUAUGGAUGAUGCAGCUCUGUGUACCCCACAGACGCCCAAUUAACAAUCCCUUAAUUAAAGAGCAAGUCACUCCCAAAUACAGGAGAUGCGAGUCCUGCCUCCAAGAGCUGCUUACCUGGCGCUUGCUAACAGGACUCCUGACCCAACCCCAAAUGGGUUGUGUGAGGUACCUCAAGUCUCAUGGUCCUUGUUAGCAGGAAGGCUCAGGCAGCCGGGACUUCGGAUCUCGGUGGGACCUCCAUUAUGUUAACUAGAAAAAAACACAGAACUAUUCAAUAGUCAAAAUCACUCUUUAAUCAAGGGCAAAAGGGGUUCAGCACUAAAAGGCCUCAGUGCUAAUAGGCCUCGACAACAGAGCUGCUUGUUCCCAUGACUGCACAGAGUCCAAGGAUUGAACUCUGGCCGCUCUGGACACUGACACCUGGGAGUGCCACCAACUCAGGAUGGACUCCGAGGAACAAAAGAAUCUGGGGAACCUAUAUACCAUUUGGGGAGUCCAGGGACAAGGAAAGAUGAUUGACAUCACCAUAGCUACAAGGAAAAUGGGAGUGUUCAAACUACACUGACAGGAUACAAUCAAGCCUGGGAAAGGAAUCAUAGCUAGAGUCUAGGGUAUAAGAGAAGGGGCUACUAACAAUAGACACUAAAGGAUAUUUCCUGCCCAGGUGUGGAUCUUCUUGGGAAAGGUUCUGAUACAAUAGGGGAGAUUGCCUGAGACAAAGAGGGUCCUUAGCAUCUGCUUAGUCUCACCCAACUAGGAUUGUCAUUUCCGUGAGGGUCUCCCACUCAGUCUGAAAAUGCUAGAUUGGGAUUCCCUUCAGGGUAGAUUCCCAUGGGAAGAGGGAACAAUGACAAGCCUUGGGGUCUCCAAUCUACAAGCUAGUCCUGAAACUUGGGAUUCAUCAGAUCUCACUAGGUAACAAGUUUGGGAUUGCUAGAUUCUAUGUUGCACUUAGAAUCAAUACUUUUUAUUGGUUUUUAAGGCAGAAGAAUGGUAAGGGUUAGACCAUGGUGGUGAAGUGACUUGCCCAGGUAGGAAGUGUCUAAAGCUGGAUUUGAGCUUCUGUCUAUAGGCUGGGCUCUCAAUCCAGUGAGUCAUCUAUUUGCUCACAAUCUUAAUUCAUUGGGAUCCCAGGAUCCCAGAUGUAGACCUGGAAGUGACUUUAAAAACAAGGAAGUUCACCUCACACAAUUUAUUGAGCAGGAAAUGGAGGCCCACAGCUUUUAGGUGAUUUUCUGCUCUGGGGCUCUGCUGAGAAGUCAGUUCAUUGAAAGUAGAUUCCUUUUAAGAGAUUUCAUUGAUUCUUCAGCCUUGUACAGAAGUGGUUUUGUGUGUUUAUCACAGCUUUUCAAACCCAGCCCAACCUUCCUUAUACCUUACUCCAAAUCCUUCCUCUUCCAUAAUCCUAUGGCCCAGGUAUAUGUCCUUCUGAUUGGAUGAUCCAUCAUCCAUCAUCUUAAUUUUAGCACUCCUGGUGCCCAAUGCCAUGCAGUGCCCUUCAUGCCUCCACUCCCUUUGGGAGUUCCUUGAUUUCUUCAGAUUCUCUACUUGAUGUGAAGGCUUUCCCAGUUCCCCAAGCUUAUGAUGUCUUCUAUUUCCCACAAACCAAUGACUUUUUCAUUUUCUAUAUUUUCUCUAUAUUUAUACUUGCACAUUUAAUACUCUCUCGCUAUACUAUGGCCUUCCAAAGGGCAGAGAGUUCUUCAAUGUUCCUGGGUGUAACAAUUAAAAUAGUG